rnacentral:rRNA from 1 species
GACGAACGCUGGCGGCGUGCUUAACACAUGCAAGUCGAACGGUGAUGACAGGGCUUGCCUUGUCGGAUCAGUGGCGAACGGGUGAGUAACACGUGAGUAACCUGCCCCAGACUCUGGGAUAACCCCGGGAAACCGGAGCUAAUACCGGAUAUGACCCUUGUGCGCAUGUGCUGGGGUGGAAAGUUUUUCGGUCUGGGAUGGGCUCGCGGCCUAUCAGCUUGUUGGUGAGGUAGUGGCUCACCAAGGCGACGACGGGUAGCCGGCCUGAGAGGGCGACCGGCCACACUGGGACUGAGACACGGCCCAGACUCCUACGGGAGGCAGCAGUGGGGAAUAUUGCACAAUGGGCGAAAGCCUGAUGCAGCGACGCCGCGUGAGGGAUGACGGCCUUCGGGUUGUAAACCUCUUUCAGCAGGGAAGAGGCGGAAGUGACGGUACCUGCAGAAGAAGCACCGGCUAACUACGUGCCAGCAGCCGCCGUAAGAC